rnacentral:rRNA from 1 species
GUAACACGUGGGUAACCUGCCGUUGGAAUGGGGAUAACGCCUGGAAACGGGUGCUAAUCCCGAAUGGUUUCCUUUGCCGCAUGGCAGAGGAAGGAAAGGCGCUACGGCGCCGUCCAACGAGGGGCCCGCGGCGCAUCAGCUAGUUGGUGGGGUAAUGGCCUACCAAGGCCGCGAUGCGUAGCCGACCUGAGAGGGUGACCGGCCACACUGGGACUGAGACACGGCCCAGACUCCUACGGGAGGCAGCAGUAGGGAAUCUUCCGCAAUGGGCGAAAGCCUGACGGAGCAACGCCGCGUGAGUGACGACGAUCUUCUGAUUGUAAAGCUCUGUCAAUUGGGACGAGUGACGGCGAGAGGGAAUGUUCGCCGUGAGACGGUACCGAUGGAGGAAGCCCCGGCUAACUACGUGCCAGCAGCCGCGGUAAUACGUAGGGGGCACGCGUUGUCCGGAAUGACUGGGCGUAAAGCGCGCGCAGGCGG